GUGCUCUCUUCAGCAGCACAUAAACUAAAACUGGAAAGAUAACAUGGCCCCUGCACAAGAAUGACACGCAACUCCAUGAAGCUUUCCCUGUUUUU
rnacentral:snRNA from 1 species